rnacentral:rRNA from 1 species
UACAGAGGAUGCAAGCGUUAUCCGGAAUGAUUGGGCGUAAAGCGUCUGUAGGUGGCUUUUUAAGUCCGCCGUCAAAUCCCAGGGCUCAACUCUGGACAGGCGGUGGAAACUACCAAGCUGGAGUACGGUAGGGGCAGAGGGAAUUUCCGGUGGAGCGGUGGAAUGCGUAGAGAUCGGGAAGAAUACCCGUGGCGAAGGCGGCCGACUGGGCCGUCUCCGACGCUGAUGCGCGAAAGCGUGGGGAGCAAACAGG